rnacentral:rRNA from 1 species
UACGGGGGGGGCAAGCGUUGUCCGGAAUUACUGGGCGUAAAGAGCUCGUAGGUGGUUUGUCGCGUUGUUCGUGAAAACUCACAACUCAAUUGCGGGCGUGCGGGCGAUACGGGCAGACUGGAGUACUGCAGGGGAGACUGGAAUUCCUGGUGUAGCGGUGGAAUGCGCAGAUAUCAGGAGGAACACCGGUGGCGAAGGCGGGUCUCUGGGCAGUAACUGACGCUGAGGAGCGAAAGCGUGGGGAGCGAACAGG